rnacentral:rRNA from 1 species
UACGGAGGGAGCUAGCGUUGUUCGGAAUUACUGGGCGUAAAGCGCACGUAGGCGGCUUUGUAAGUUAGAGGUGAAAGGCCGGGGCUCAACUCCGGAACUGCCUUUAAGACUGCAUCGCUUGAAUCCAGGAGAGGUGAGUGGAAUUCCGAGUGUAGAGGUGAAAUUCGUAGAUAUUCGGAAGAACACCAGUGGCGAAGGCGGCUCACUGGACUGGUAUUGACGCUGAGGUGCGAAAGCGUGGGGAGCAAACAGG